rnacentral:lncRNA from 1 species
GCCGGCACGUGCACUUUGCACCGCCCAGGGGGGCACGUACAACGCGUCUGUUUGGAUCGUCUCUAUACGGUGUUUCUUGCAAAAAAGCCCCUCAGGAGGGAAGAGACGAGCGACCUCGUCGUCUCGGGAGGCGACGACGUGGGCUCGUGCUCCCAGGCACCAAGCGACGAGGAGGUAGCGUUGUACAGAGUCGUUGUUUCCAAUCGACGAGGUGAGGAUCUGGAUGCGCCGCGAAGGUUGAGAGCCCGGUCGCCAUCCAGCAACGGCAGCUCGCUGCCCUUCAGGUCUGUGUCAGGAUGCUAUCUUCUUUCUGUCACUUUUUUCUGCGUCAGGAUGCCAUCUCGAACAAGGAUAAGCACAUACCAUAGCUCAAUGUAUAGUAUGGCGUCACUCCGAUUAUUCCACACAAUUAUCAACAAAGUAGGAUAGUGUUGUAUCCAUGAACUGUGAAUUCUCUGGAUUUUCAUUUAUGUAUUACCUGAAUGUGAACUCAUAUCUGAAUGUUAAUGUGCAUUCAGUUCAGAAUAUUCAACUGAAUUGGAUGUGGAUUUUACUCAGGUUCUAUGUGUUCUGCAG